UACGUAGGGUGCGAGCGUUGUCCGGAAUUAUUGGGCGUAAAGGGCUCGUAGGCGGUCUGUUGCGUCGGGAGUGAAAACUCAGGGCUUAACCCUGAGCCUGCUUCCGAUACGGGCAGACUAGAGUGCGGUAGGGGAGAUUGGAAUUCCUGGUGUAGCGGUGGAAUGCGCAGAUAUCAGGAGGAACACCAAUGGCGAAGGCAGAUCUCUGGGCCGUAACUGACGCUGAGGAGCGAAAGUGUGGGGAGCGAACAGG
rnacentral:rRNA from 1 species